GACAGAGGUGCCGAGCGUUAGGCGGAAUCACUGGGCUUAAAGCGUGUGUAGGCGGAUCGUUAAGUACCUUGUGAAAUCCCACGGCUCAACCGUGGAACUGCUGGGUAUACUGGCGGUCUUGAGCCACCUAGGGGCGAGCGGAACAAGCGGUGGAGCGGUGAAAUGCGUUGAUAUCGAUAGGAACUCCGGUGGCGAAGGCGGCAUACUGGUCCACUUCUGACGCUGAGGCGCGAAAGCCAGGGGAGCAAACGGG
rnacentral:rRNA from 1 species